rnacentral:lncRNA from 1 species
ACAAGAGCUAUGUCACUACUUACACUAGAAAGCUACCUAAAGUUUCUAUACAAGUAAGUAAGCUACUCUAGUUUGCGGGAAUGUAAAAGAGAUGGUUUGAACUUUAUAUCGCCGCGUAGAGGGGAUGAACCAAUCAAUAAUAUGAAGUCCAAUCACCGGGAGAAAUCCAAUGAACAAUCACAAUGGAGACACAUAAUUUUUCUCCCGAGGUUCACGUGCUUGCCGGCACGCUACGUCCCCGUUGUGUGGACCAACACUUGGUGGUUCGGUGGCUAAGAGGUGUAGCACGAACC